AAUAUUUAAGAAUUUGUUAUGAAAGUUCCUCACUCAAAAAAAGUACGAAUUUGGAUACACCUGACCCAAGUCUUCUUCUGGGGUGACUGGAACUCAGAAGAUGCCUCUUAUCAGAUCUCAUGGUCUCCAGAGCCUUCCGUAAUUCACAGAGGGCUACAGAGAACAUGAGAUCUUGUCACAGAGGGCGACGGCAUGGUCGAUCGAGGAGCUGAAAGUGGAGAGAUCUGUUUGUUUCUCUACUUGGAUUUCAAGUUUGAGAUAGAUUGAGUUUGGCUGACAAAUGAGCAUGUGACGGUAUCUAUCCAUACCCAAACACGUAUGAAAUUCCCCUUUUACCCCUCCAAACAAAAACCACAGAAGUUGAUCUUAUGAGCCGUUGAUGACUUUCCCCAUUUCCCAUUUCCCAUUUCCCUUCGCGGCUAGAGGUUGGCGUUGCAGAUAUGCCGCAUCUGUCCACCCCUCAAAUAACUUAUUUGAUUACAUUGUAACAUUUAAGAAGAGAGUAAAUUAAUAACAAGGGUGUUCCAACUUCGAUGCCGAAAAGAAAGGCUGAGCAUUCUGGAUGGACAUACAGGAAACGACAAAAGAUUCCAAUCAAUUUGGGUGAUAAGGAAGAGAAUUAUUCAGAGGACGAUCAGAUCAGUCAGCUACCAGAUGCCAUUCUAAUUAGCAUUCUUUCCCUAUUGGGUAUUGGGGAAGCAGCAAGGACUUGUGUCCUCUCUAAGAGGUGGGUCUCUCUGUGGAAACAGAUUACGUGUCUCAACUUCGAUGAUAUAGAUGCAUUAUCCAAACCACAGAAGAAAAGAAAACGAGUGAAAACAACAUCUAGUUACAAUUGGGUGAAUCAAGUCUUGCAAUUGCACCAGGGUCUAUCCUUAGAUGAAUUCCAAAUUCAUUCUUCGUCACCCGAUUCCAGUCCUAGUAGUUCUGAAAUCGACAAUUGGAUUGAAUUUGCAAUGUGGAGGAGAAUUCAAGGCCUUGAGAUAGAUUUGGAAGCAGGCAGACGGUCUCGUUUUUCUUCUCCCAGUUAUACCUUUCCAGAUAAGCCAUUUAGAAGCCCUUUUGGUAUUUCCUGCAUCAAGUCCCUUAAACACCUCUCUUUGUCCUUUGUAAAUAUAACUGGCGAACUUGUUGAACAUUUUCUAUCCUAUUGUGAACUCCUUGAGCAUCUCUGCGUUUCUUGCUCAGAUCAAUUAGUAAAUUUGAAAGUUGCUGGUUCAUCACUCCGGUUGAAGUUCCUACAAAUAAGUGAGUGUACGUCUUUAGGAUUAGUUGAGAUUUGGGCUCCUAAUCUCGUGUCAUUUAUUUAUAAGGGAAUGUUGGGUUUUUGUGACAGUAUUCGUUUGAGGCAUGCACCCUUGCUUGUUAAUGUAUCUCUUGCAGAAAGUACUAGGUCUAUAAUUGCACCUUUUCUUUCGGUUAAAAGUUGUAUUCCUCAGCUGGUGACUCUCAACUUGCACAUGAAUCUGAAUUCGAGAGGAGGGGUGUGGCUCCCAGAAUUUCCAGAAUUUACUUGUCUCAAGGACUUGUCAUUGAGUGUUAUCGCAACUGAUCGGCUAAGCCUCCUUGCUUUGACUAAAUUGAUAGAGCGGUCUCCUUUCUUGCAUGGAUUUACAUUGAAGUUAAGAUGGGUACGCAACUCGUGUCAGAGGAAUAUGCAGAAGGUUAAUAAAUGUCCUCAUCAGUGCCUUAAGGUGGUGAAAUUUUCUGGGUUCGUUGGGUCUAUUAUCGACACUGAGCUUGCCACGUACUUCACUGAGAAUGCCGUUGCGCUUGAGACGUUUAUCAUCGAUCUCAAAAAGGUUGUCGUUGAAGAAUCCACUCCAUUGUCUGAAUUUGUUACAACCCAGAAAAAAAUGAGGGCAACAAGAAAGCGGGCCUUGCAGAUUGGAGAAAAACUACCGCCAGGAGCUGAGUUAAUUGUUGUGUGAUUUCACUUGUUUAGUCCUCUUUGCUACAGACUUUUUGCAGCAUGUAAUUUGCUAUUAUUUAUUUCUGACAUAUUCAGAAAUUGAAAUAAUAUAUGGUCGUGAUGACCAAUUAUUGUUGGAGAAGACGUGGAAAUCUUCACUAUUACGGUCUGUAAUCUUAAGUCUCAAGUUUGAAACCUACUUUUCAUUUACUUCUUGUUAUUACUGGCUUCCAUCUACUCUUUAAGUUGUUGGGGUCUCCUCCAAUCAAAGAAGCACUUGAUUGCGUUGGAUGUGAUGCUGGAGCUACAAAUCCUUCCAUCUUCAGAGCGAGCAAAAUGGAGGGGAGUGGCUCCCAGAAUUUCCAGAAUUAACUAGUCUCAAGGACUUAUCAUUGAGUGUUAUUGCAACUGAUCGGCUAAGCCUCCUCUUUUUGACUAAAUUGAUAGAGCGGUCUCCUUUCUUGCAUGGAUUUACAUUGAAGUUAGGAUGGGCACGCGACUCGUGUAAGAGCAAUAUGCAGAAGGUUAAUAAAUGUCCUCAUCAGUGCCUUAAGGUGGUGAAAUUUUCUGGGUUCGUUGGGUCUAUUAUCGACACUGAUCUUGCCAUGUACUUCACUGAGAAUGCCGUUGCACUUGAAACGUUUAUCGUCAAUCUCAAAAAGGUUGUCGUUGAAGAAUCCGCUCUAUUGUCUGAAUUUGUUACAACCCAGAAAAAAUUGAGGGCAACAAGAAAGCGGGCCUUGCAGAUUGGAGGAAAACUACCUCCAGGAGCUGAGUUAGUUAUUGUGUGAUUUCACUUGUUUAGUCCUCUUUGCUACAGACUUUUUGCGGCAUGUAAUUUGCUACUAUUUAUUUCUGACAUUUUCCGAAAUAAUGUUUGUGUGGUGAACAAGGAUGACAGUUUUGGUACUUGAUUGAUUUCUUGCAAUAUGUAGAUUCUUGAAUGAGUUGGAGUUGGAGACAAAAUGAGAAAGGACAUGUCAUUUGCA